rnacentral:sRNA from 1 species
GGUGACAGAGUGAGGGAAUGACUGGUGACAGAGUGAGAGAGAGGGUGACUAGUGACCGAGUGAGGGAGGGAGUGGGUGACUAGUGACAGAGUGAGGAAGGGGGUGACACAGUGAUAGUCACCCCAUUCCUCCCUCUGUCACUAAUCACCACCUCCCUCACUCUCACUAGUCACCCUUCCCUCCCUCACUCUGUCACUAGUCACACCCUCCCUCUCUCUGUCACUAGUCACACCCUUACUGUCACUAGUCACACCCUUACUCACUGUCACUAGUCACACCCUCCCUCUCUCUG